rnacentral:rRNA from 1 species
GACGAACGCUGGCGGCGUGCUUUACACAUGCAAGUCGAACGGGCCCGCCCCUGUUUUUGGGGGUGGGUUGAGUGGCGAACGGGUGAGUAUCACGUGAGUAACCUGCCCCCUGCUCCUGGAUAACUGCUUGAAAGGGCGGCUAAUACGGGGUGUGCCGGCUGGUCCGCAUGGGCCUGGUCGGGAUAGUUUCAUCUUCGGGUGUUUCGGUGGGGGAUGGGCUCGCGGCCUAUCAGCUUGUUGGGGGGGUGAUGGCCCACCAAGGCGGUGACGGGUAGCCGGCGUGGGAGGGUGGGCGGCCACGCUGGGACUGAGGCACGGCCCAGACUCCUGCGGGAGGCAGCGGUGGGGGGUAGUGCACAGUGGGCGGAAGCCUGAUGCAGCGACGUCGCGUGAGGGAUGGAGGCCUUCGGGUUGUGAACCUCUUUCUCCGGUGGGGAAGGCCCUGUCCGUUGCGGCGGGGUUGACGGUAGCCGGGUAUGAAGCGCCGGCUAACUACGUG